AGCAGCCGCGGUAAUUCCAGCUCCAAUAGCGUAUAUUAAAGUUGCUGCAGUUAAAAAGCUCGUAGUUGAAUUUCGGGACUAAUAUGUCGGUCGUGCCUCGGUACGUACUGGUUUAUUGGUUUCUCCUUUCUGAAGAACCAUGAUGUCAUUUAUUUGGUGUCGUGGGGAAUCAGGACUGUUACUUUGAAAAAUUAGAGUGUUUAAAGCAGGCUCACGCUUGAAUACAUUAGCAUGGAAUAAUGAAAUAGGACGUUUGAUUCUAUUUUGUUGGUUUCUAGGAUCGACGUAAUGAUUAAUAGGGAUAGUUGGGGGCAUUAGUAUUCAAUUGUCAGAGGUGAAAUUCUUGGAUUUAUUGAAGACUAACUACUGCGAAAGCAUUUGCCAAGGAUGUUUUCAUUAAUCAAGAACGAAAGUUAGGGGAUCGAAGACGAUCAGAUACCGUCGUAGUCUUAACCAUAAACUAUGCCGACUAGGGAUCGGAUGAUGUUAAUUUUUAAUGACUCAUUCGGCGCCUUAAC
rnacentral:rRNA from 1 species